rnacentral:ncRNA from 2 species
AAAACAAUUACAGCGCCUGAGCUAAGGAAAUCGGACGGUCAUGAAUCCUUAGUUGACGAGGUGGAGGUUAUCGAAUUUUCGGCGGAUGCCUCCCGAUCGAGAUGCCCGAUUGUUACUUUCGUUUUAAAACAUAAAAGUGAUUUUAUGGACAGAAGAACGAAAAGGCAAAUAC